rnacentral:lncRNA from 1 species
AGAUUAGCCCUGAGCUAACUACUGCCUAUACUCCUCUUUUUGCUGAGGAAGACUGGCCCUGAGCUAACAUCCAUGUCCAUCUUCCUCUGCUUUUAUACGUGGGAUGUCUACCACAGCAUGGCUUUUGCCAAGCAGUGCCAUGUCUGCACCGGGAUCUGAACAAGCAAACCCCGGGCCGCGAGAAGCUGAACGUGCGAACUUCACCGCUGCGCCAUCCGGCCGGCCCCCUGGGUCCCUUGCUUUAUAGUAGUGCAUCUAAACUUCAAAGUGGAUGCUAAUCAACUUGAGGUAUUGCUGGUAUAUAGGAAAUCUAAUGGUGUUGGUGAUUGCUUUUUUAUUUGACUGCUCUAUUGACCUUUCUUAUUAGCACACAACCUUAUCGUCUGUCAAUAAUGAUACGUUUAUCUUCUCUUAUACAGGAAUGGUCUGGUGCCUGAUGAUGGUCCAAUUAGCUGUGGCGAGGCCGGGAUGAGUGGUGUUGCAAUGUGAAAAUGUGACAGCCUAGGUCGCCCCCUUAGCAGGGGCUUUGGGUAAGGUUACCCUUGGAAAGAGCUUGGAGACACACCACGAUAGACAAGUUCAGUGAAAGAAUUAUUACUAAGUUUUCCUUUUUUGUGCCACGAUUCAUCUUGCAAAUCUGAACAACCAAAGAGUGCUUGUAUCUCGGACUCCAUUCAGAGUAGAGUGAGAAUACUUUGAUAAAACCAUUGUUUGGGUUUAUGUUUACACAAUCCAUGUUCUUUUUGUAGUUACUUGUAUCAACUAUGUUGCUUCUUGUAAUUUAACCCACCACCUUCCAUUGUAAAAGUUAAAAUGCAAACAGCUAAAACGACACUGAAUUUUUUAAAAAAGCUAAAAGCAAUAGAAAGAAUAUCUAGCAUUUCAAGUGUAUUUAAAAUGUCAACUUUUUAAAAAAUUAAUUGGGGUUUUUUUUAGAGCAUCCUUAGGCUUAAGAAAAAUGGACAGAAAGUACAGUUUCCAUAUACUCCCUCCCCCAGUCCUCCUUGCCCCCUAGUUCCCCCUAUUGUUAACAUUGUGCAUUAGCUGGUAUGUUUGUUACAACUGACAAACCAAUAUUGAUACAUUAUUAUUAAUAAAAGUCCAUAGUUAUAUUAGGGUUCAUUCUUCAUGUUGUGCAUUCUAUGGCUUUUGACAAACUUAUAAUGACAUAUAUCCAUCACUAUGGUGUCAUACAGAAUAGUUUCACUGCUCUAAAAAUUCCCUGUGUUCCACCUAUUUAUCCCUCCCCCACUGAAACCCC